AUGCAGAACGGCCUCAGAUUCCAGCCUCGCCAGUCCGGCAGCUGGGCAUGUUCACCACCCCAGACCCACCCCUGCAGCCACUGGGCCCUGAGAAAGUGUGCAGCCCGCACCUGGCCGCCUCUCCCGGCUGUCCUCCCUGGCCCCGCCCCCAGCGGCCCAGGGCCAGGCUCACAGGCACUCGGUGACUUCUUGACCCUCAGCUCCUGGAACCACUACCAGUGCGUUGGUGCUGGAGAAAGGUCAUGCCCCCUCCAGGCCUGGAGGGGCUCAGGGAGGCUAGCUGAGCAGGGCGGGAUCCCCAGGGAGCCUUCACAGCAGAGGGGCAGCCCAGGGCUGGCACUGGGGGGUCACUGGCCCAGGGGAAGCUGGUGGGGCUGGGAGGGAGAGGGGCUGGGGAAUCUAGGGCAGGGGUCAGGGGAUUCCGGGACUCAGGAAGUGGGGAAGACUGGACUGGUGGGAGGGGGUGAGGCUGGGGAGCAGGGUGUCAGAGGAGGCCGGGGUGCCCUGCCCAGCCCUGGGGUUCUGGAGCAGAGAGAGGAGCUUAGAUGGCAUUUCAGGGCCGCCUCGCUGGCCGGCGGGGUGCCCGAGGAAACACCUGGCUCCCUGGAGCUGGGGUCCCCUAGGGAGCCCCGGCAGCGCGGGGCCCCCGCGGCCCCCACUGGCGGCACCCGGCGACCGCGAGGAGCCCGGCGGGAGCUGCCCCGCCCCGGUUUCCAUGACAACCCCAGGGAAACAAACAAGGAGGCUCAGCACUCUCCCGCGAGCAGGAAACGGAACGCGGCCUCCCCGGCCAGACCCCGCGAGUGGGAGGCACUAGCGCCAAGCAGGUUGCGGCCGAUCCGCCCUCUGGGGGACCCGGUGCCCCUCACCCUGCCCGCAAGGCGGCAGUCACACAAUAGGCGCCCCUCCUCCCGGGUCUGGGGGACGGGCUCCCAGAAGAUCGCGUUUCCCUCGCGUAGUUUCCACUGGAGCUUCACAGAGGAAGAGGGGCCCAGCUGUGCUCUCAGCAGCCCCCACUGGCUGGACGGCAGGAAGUUUCCAUCCGGCAAGAGGAGCCCUCGGCAAGGGCGGGCCUGGGGGUGCCCCCAACGACCCCCCCAACCAGGGAGCUUCGGCUUAGCAGGAGGGAGGCGGGAAUGGGAAGAGUCGUCCCAGCCGCUCCUCUUGAGUGCACCCCUUACCUCUGCCCGGGGUGAAAGUGGGGCGCCCCUGGGGUACCUGCACCAGGGCCUCCCACCCCCCGGGGCAGGCCAACCCGCCUUGCACAUCCUGGCUGCGUUCCCGGCGCCGGCCAAAUCCAAGGAGACACUGCUGCCCACGCUGGACGCCCGGACGGGCCUGGAGGAGGGAGGGCGGCUUGGGAUUGCGGACACCGAGCCGGCCGCUCCACCCGAGGGACACGGAUGGCUGCUCGAAGGACAAUGAGCCCGGCCUGGCUCAGCUGUCUCAACCUGCUUCCUGGAGAAUGAGCCAGGGAGGGGCCUGUGCCAGGGGCUGGGGUGCUGAGAGCUGGCCCCGGGGGUGAGGGGGUGGGGGCAAGGCACAUAUGGAGUCGGCUGCCUACGGUGCCUACAGGCCCAGAGAUGACCAGGUCCCGAAGCUCCUGGCUCCGGGAGGGCCAGGCCUCUGGGGAUGCGGUACUGGGAGCAGGCCGGCGCACGCGCUGAGCCGUGGAAGGCGGGUCUACCAGGGCUCUGCCCCGGAGCGGAAGAGAAGAGGCGCCCUCUGGCGGGCUGCUAGGGAGCCGCGGAUAAAGGGAAGGCAGGAGCGUGGGCGGGAGUCUAGGGGGCUCCUCCAGCUGCUAGGGGUUCCCGGUUGCUAAGGUCAGCCUGAAGAGGCCAGAGGUGACUCCAUCAACACCGCAAACCAGAUGCAGAAACUCUGUUCAGGCAGGAGCACUAGGCCCUCCAGACAGCCUGCAUUCUGUCCCUGGGCUCCCACCUGCCCAGCUGAGGUGAGCUCCCUGGGCAAAGACUGGCACAGAUUCUGCCUCAGGUGUCCUGCCCACCCCUCGCCGCUCCUCCCCUGCAGGAGGGGUCGUCUGUCCCUCCCUCCCUCCACCGGGUGCCCUCAGCUCCCCUCCCUCCAGCUCUCUGCUGGACCAAGGCACCGCCUGGUUUUAGUGCCCCUUUCUGGGCACCAGGACCCCAGCCUCCCGCACUCCCCACCUCCCUCUAGUCCUUCCCAAGGGCCCAGCCCCCCACUCGCCUAAACCAGCCCAAACAACAUCCUCCCUGCCUGCCACCCAUGGGCAUCACCCUUGGGCACAGGGCCCCGCCCCCACCUGAAACCGGGCCCAGACAUGCUGGGGGCACUUGCACUGAGCGAUGGGCCCUCGGCUGCGAGUCCGCCCCAGAGUUGCAGACACGUGCGCCCUUGACCUUCAGACCUUUUAUUGGUAGCAAAAGUCCCAGCACUCAGAGUG
ensembl:lncRNA